rnacentral:rRNA from 1 species
GUUGGCCUCGGAUCAGGUGGGGAUACCCGCUGAACUUAAGCAUAUCAAUAAGCGGAGGAAAAGAAACCAACAGGGAUUGCCUCAGUAACGGCGAGUGAAGCGGCAACAGCUCAAAUUUGAAAUCUGGCGCAAGCCCGAGUUGUAAUUUGCAGAGGAUGUUUCGGGUGAAGCCACGGUCCAAGUCCCUUGGAACAGGACGUCAUAGAGGGUGAGAACCCCGUACCUGGCCGUCGGUGCCCCCCGCUGUGAAACUCCUUCGACGAGUCGAGUUGUUUGGGAAUGCAGCUCUAAAUUGGUGGUAAAUUCCAUCCAAAGCUAAAUACCGGCCAGAGACCGAUAGCGCACAAGUAGAGUGAUCGAAAGAUGAAAAGCACUUUGAAAAGAGAGUUAAAAAGUACGUGAAAUUGUUGAAAGGGAAGCGCUUGCGGCCAGACUUGCCCGCGGUUGCUCAGCCCGCCCUUUGGCGGGUGCACUCUUCCGCGGUCAGGCCAGCAUCGGUUUGGGCGGCCGGAUAAAGGCGUUGGGAACGUAGCCUCCCCUCGGGGAGGUGUUAUAGCCCGGCGCGCAAUGCGACCAGCCCGGACCGAGGUUCGCGCUCUGCUAGGAUGCUGGCGUAAUGGCCGUAAGCGGCCCGUCUUGAAACACGGACCAAGGAGUCUAACAUCUAUGCGAGUGUUUGGGUGUCAAACCCGUGCGCGUAAUGAAAGUGAACGGAGGUGGGAACCGCAAGGUGCACCAUCGACCGAUCCUGAUGUCUUCGGAAGGAUUUGAGUAAGAGCAUAGCUGUUGGGACCCGAAAGAUGGUGAACUAUGCGUGAAUAGGGUGAAGCCAGAGGAAACUCUGGUGGAGGCUCGCAGCGGUUCUGACGUGCAAAUCGAUCGUCAAAUUUGCGUAUAGGGGCGAAAGACUAAUCGAACCAUUUAGUAGCUGGUUCCUG